AGGAACAUGUGGUUUAAUUAGGUGAUGCGAGAAGCACCUUACCCGGGCUUAAAUUGCAGAUGAAUUACGGAGAAAGCUGUAACCCGCAAGGCAUCUGUGAAGGUGCUGCAUGGUUGUAGUCAGCUCGUGCCGUGAGGUGUCGGCUUAAGUGCCAUAACGAGCGCAACCCUUGUUGUCAGUUACUAACAGGUUCCGUUGAGGACUCUGACAAGACUGCCAUCGUAAGAUGUGAGGAAGGUGGGGAUGACGUCAAAUCAGCACGGCCCUUACGUCCGGGGCUACACACGUGUUACAAUGGGGGGUACAGAGGGCCGCUACCACGCGAGUGGAUGCCAAUCCCCAAAACCUCUCUCAGUUCGGACUGGAGUCUGCAACCCGACUCCACGAAGCUGGAUUCGCUAGUAAUCGCGCAUCAGCCACGGCGCGGUGAAUACGUUCCCGGGCCUUGUACACACCGCCCGUCAAGCCAUGGGAGCCGGGGGUACAAGAAGUGCGUAACCGCGAGGAGCGCCGUAGGGUA
rnacentral:rRNA from 1 species